rnacentral:rRNA from 1 species
CCUACGGGCGGCAGCAGUAGGGAAUUUUCGUCAAUGGGCGCAAGCCUGAACGAGCGAUGCCGCGUGAGUGAAGAAGGCCUUCGGGUCGUAAAGCUCUGUUGCGGGGGAAAAAAGGCAGCAUCAGGAAAUGGUUGCUGACUGAUGGUGCCCCGCCAGAAAGUCACGGCGAACUACGUGCCAGCCGCCGCGGUAAUACGUAGGUGGCGAGCGGUAUCCGGAAGGAUUGGGCGUAAAGGGUGCGGAGGCGGCCCUGCAAGUCUGGAGUGAAACGCAUGAUCUCAACUCAUGCAUGGCUUUGGAAACUGGAGGACUGGAGAGCAGGAGAGGGCGGUGGAACUCCAUGUGUAGCGGUAAAAUGCGUAGAUAUAUGGAAGAACACCAGUGGCGAAGGCGGCCGCCUGGCCUGUUGCUGACGCUGAGGCACGAAAGCGUGGGGAGCAAAUAGGAUUAGAUACCCGAGUAGUC